CUCACGGACCGCGAGACCGUGACCUGGCUGAAGUCGGACGCUUAACCGACUGCGCCACCCAGGCGCCCUAGUAAGAUAUUUUAGAGACUGUUUGAUUUCUUCUUAUGCCAGUUCUUCCAUUCUAAGUUAUAGCCAUUCAGGCCAUAUUUGAGUUCCUUUAAAAUGCCAAAUUUUGUUUGUUAUUUGGAAGUUUUCUUGUGCUAUGUGUCCUGUCCAUAAUGUUUUUCUAAAAAUUUUGCAAAUGAUUACCUCCUACUCAUCUUCUUUUCAUCAUGUUAUGUGUCAUAUUCUUAGCAAGGUCUUCUCUAUCACUAAAAUACACUUAAGUCCCCUUCCCACAUAGCAUGGUUUCUGUACUUUUAUUGUAUUGUUCUUAGCAUAAUCUUUAGUUUAUAUUUGCAACCUUGUUUUGUUCAGAGUAAGUCCCUGUCUUUUUUAAAAUUAUUUUAGAAAUAGAAAGUGUUAGCAGGGGAGAGGUGCAGAGGGAGAGAGACAGACAGAGAGAGAAUCCUAAGCAGGGGCUCGAUUUGUGGGAUCAUGACCUGAGCAGAAAUCAAGUCAUUCAGCUGACUGAGUUACCUGAACGCCCCUGUCCCCAUCUUUAUUUAAUUAUCAAACUUCAAAUAAACUAGACUAUGAUUAUUUGGUUCACCACUGUAUGUCCAAUAGCUAGUAGUGUACCAUUAAUACUUAUUAGUUAAUAAAUGAAUAAAUACCUAUAAAAUUUUUAUGCCUUAAAAAAUUGACCAGAGGGGAUUUUUUCCAUAAGCAUGUAUAAAUCUAGUAUCCCAAGGGACAUUCUUAGAAUGAAAAAAAAAUAAUACAUUCUUUAAUUCUGAAAACAGGGGUACUUUAUAAACCAGACACAUAUUCAUUAAUAGGAAUUAAUUCUCCUUUCUAUAUGUUAAAAUGUGAGAGGUGAAACAUAUUUUUCUAUUCUAAAUGUUAAUAUUCUGUAAAGAGGAGGCAGGGGUUAGUUUUGUAUUAUACUAUGCUUACUCUAAAAUAAUAUAUACAAAGGAAGAGGACACAUAUAAUAUCUUGGUUCUACAUUUUCAGGAAAGUAGUAAAUGACUCCGACCUUCCAUAGGCUUCAUAAAAUAGAUAUCAUGCUUCAAUUAGUGUUAAGACUCUAAUCUCACUAUUUGUGGAAAAUGUAUUUCAAACUUUGAAACUGGAGAAGGGAGAGUAGAGAAACUAGGUUUUUCUGCGAACAACUAGAAAAAUCGAGAUAAAAUACCCAACUCAUAUGUAUGAAGGCAGGGGAAACUUGAAGAAAUGAGAACUGGAGGUGCCAAGACUCCAGAGAAAAGGCAGUCUGAGAAAAGUGGAUUUACAUUUGCAGCUGUUUUCAUACUGGUGACAGUUUUCAAUUUCUGGAAAGGUAAAAAGCUAAAGAAACGGGCGUCACAUCUGGGAAAGACUCCUCAGAAAAAGAAAGCUUUUGGAGCAUAAUAUUGUGGAAUUUUUGGCGUCAAAGCUUUUGGAAACUUGGGAGAACCUCAAAUACUGGCACUUUUAUCCUGAGGAUGUUUGUGACUGUGCAGGAUAAGAAGCUAAGAACUGUUAAAAGAUUAACUGAAACAUAUUAAAAAAUGUUAGACUUUGAGCAAAAAUCUGUUUGGAUGCGGCAGCUACAAACUGAAAGUGGUUAAGAGGGUUCUGGUUGCAGGAACCAGGAGAAAGACUUAAACAGAGAAAGUGCAGAAGCAAAGAAUGAAGAUACACAGUUGAAAGACUCAAAAUCACAAGGCCAUGAUGUUGGUAAACAGCCAUAAACUCAAAACAAUGAGUGACCUAUCUUUCUGGAAAAAAAAAAAAAAAGUGAAGUUAAAUUUCUACAGAUGAAUCAGCUGUUCAGAUGUUGAUAAGUGCAUAGAAAACCAGGUCACCCAAUGAGAAUGUGCCAAAUUCUAAUAAGAGAAUUACAGAGGAGACCUCUAAGAUAUUGGAGCAAUGUCUUCUUUGGAUGUCAGCAUGAUAGCAAGGUACAUGCAAAGUCAUUCUACCAACUUGUAUAGACAAUAAUCAAGAUAACACCCAGCUUGGAUCAGAUCCAGAUUCUACACAGAAAUUCUCUGUAUUGUUUUCAAUAUGUUAACAACUGCUUGGAAAGCAGAAAUGCCUAAUAAUUACUGUAGUGUGGUUUUUAAUUGAAAUAUGUAUAAAAAUAAAGCCCUGAUCUUUAAGUAUAUAGAACAUCAAGAAUUCUGUUAGAGAUGUUUAAAGCCAAACACUCAUUUUCAGUGUGCCUUCUGAUGUCAGAGUGUGUGACUCCAGCUCCAAUGUUUCAAAUUAUGGACUGUUUAUCAAGUUCACUUUUAAAUAAAUUA